rnacentral:rRNA from 1 species
CACGGGGGGAGCAAGCGUUGUUCGGAAUCACUGGGCGUAAAGCGCGCGUAGGCGGCUCGGUCAGUCGGGUGUGAAAUCCCUGGGCUCAACCUGGGAACUGCAUUCGAUACUGCCGAGCUAGAGUGUGGGAGAGGGUAGUGGAAUUCCCGGUGUAGCGGUGAAAUGCGUAGAUAUCGGGAGGAACAUCAGUGGCGAAGGCGACUGCCUGGCCCAACACUGACGCUGAGGUGCGAAAGCGUGGGUAGCAAACAGG